CUUCCAGGUGACCUUCGUUUGGAGAUUGGGUGUGCUCCAGCCCCCAGAAUCUCCUUCUCCCCUUCGUGAAACAGAGCUGGGAUGAUGGCAGAGGACUCCAGAACGCACUGAGAUUGUUCCUUGGCGUGACAAAUGGCAAAGGACUCUAGAACGCACAGAGAUUGUUCCUUGGUGUGACGGGCCAGACAGCACACCUUUCUUCAAGCCAUUCUCACAUCAAAUAAAACGUUGAUAAAUCAUUGUUUCUCUAAGCUUGAAAAAUGCUACUAACUCAAGACAAGGUGAAAGUGAGUUUGUUGAAAUCAACGUGAAGGAUCGAGGGUACCAACUUGGAAUGUAAAACCAUAGAAAAUACCAUCUGGGAACACGGAAAUCAUCUGUCUUAUCUGGAAGCCUGUCUCCAGAGUGGCAAACUUAGGGACUGGUUUGAGGACAGAGUGUGCCCUGUGUGCUGGGGAGGGGUGUAAAGGACUGGGAUGGAGGAGGGGGGGCUCCAGAUGUUCUUUUACCCAUAAAUACACUGUACAUCACCGUCUGCCACUGAAGCUUAAGGAUUGAAAACCUUGGGGAUGUUUCACUGGUUUUGCUUCCGCCUCUGCAAUGUUUGAACUUGCAUUUUCUGAGCCACGUAUGCAACUAAAAGCCUUACAUGCAUUACCCACCCUUCACCUCUCUUACUAGUCCUAUUUACAGGUGAGAAAACUGAGGCACAAGGAGUUUUGCUGAUUCGGGAUUGUUACGGGUUUUAGGUUUUGUUUUCCUCCUGACAGCUCCUGGACUUUUUAAAAUUCCUGUAAUUGUGUCUCCCAAUCAUGGGCCAGGAAUAUGAGAAUCAGCUGUGAACUUCGAGCCUGUCCAUCUCAAAACUCUUCAUCUCCAAGACAUUUCAAUAGAGCUUUGCCAGUAAACAAAAAUAAAUACGGUUCGGUUUACCCAGAGGCCAAAUCCCUUGUAAUAAGUUCUGGGCCAGUUUCUUCCCAGAGCGGGAGAAUAUACAGUUGUAGUUUGAGUUGAUUUUAUUUCUUUGAGGCUUUGUUUUUCUAGUCUUUCAGGCCUUAACCUCACUCCCUCAGGAACAGCUGAAAUAUGAGAAGAGAUCAUAUGGCCCCCAAAAAGUCCCCAGAUUAACCAAGAUUGAUGCCACCCAGGGCCCAGUUGGGGUCAACACCCUGUGUCAGGUGCGCUCUCUGUAUAAUUCCUGUUUCCUGUGAGAAGAGCAUUAAAGGCCCGUUAAUGUUUUAAAAUGAAAUGCAACCUCUUAAUAAUCAGGUUUCUCCACUCUGCUAGGAUUCCAAAAAAAAAAAUCAGCAACUGACAAAUGUUAAAAAUUUCCUCGCUGCUAAUCAUGCUUUCCCCCGCUUCCCUUUCUUUCCCCCUCUCUUCUAACAUGAAUUUAUUUUCUAUUUGAAAGCCAAUCUCACUGGUUAUUAGAUAUUCUCCCUGCUGUCACUAUCAGUAAAUUAUUAAACAGCUGACCAAGCUUUGUUUUAAAAUGAUUCUCUUAUGAAGCUCAGUGAUAUAUUUGCUAUGAAUACUGAAUGGUGCCGCGGUCUCUAAGGUCACGUGAAUGAUUCCUAUUUACUACCUUUAGCAAAAUGUGUGUGCAAUUAGCGGCAAGAACUUGACUUGAAUCACAGUUACUAGGGAUGCCUGUAGCUCAUUUACAUGGAGCUCCCUUUACUCAUUACACUCCUGCCCAGGAGAAGCGUGUUAAGAUUCUAGGCCAGGUCACGAAAUAGCAUAUAGACUUGUCUUUUGUCAUUCCUCACCUCCUUUCUUGUCUUGCCACUGCUGAGCCUUGACAUACCUGUGGGAAUCCUUUGUUUCAUGGAGCAGCGGGUUCUAAGUGAAUUUUUGCUUAAAGAAAAUAAACGUGAUUGAGAGAAAAUUA
rnacentral:lncRNA from 1 species